GACGAACCGUGCGAACGUUAUUCGGAAUCACUGGGCUUAAAGGGCGCGUAGGCGGGCCGCCAAGUCAGGGGUGAAAUCCCACGGCUCAACCGUGGAAGUGCCUUUGAUACUGGCGGCCUCGAGGGAGGCAGGGGCGUGCGGAACUUUGGGUGGAGCGGUGAAAUGCGUAGAUAUCCAAAGGAACACCGGUGGCGAAAGCGGCGCGCUGGACCUCUUCUGACGCUGAGGAACGAAAGCCAGGGGAGCGAACGGG
rnacentral:rRNA from 1 species